AUCAACCUCACACCAGUGGUCACAGGAAUUGAGAUUAGAAAGUUACAGUAGGUGGGCAGAUUUAUUUGGAGCAGAUUCAUUGUAGCUUUAUUCCUGUUUGAGAGUCCAGCACAGGCAGCAGAGCCAACUGCAUAGCAGACAUCCAGGUUGAAUUUACUACAGUUAUGGGGGACAAGCAGCAAGAGGAUGCCAAGCAAAGCCAGCGAAGGCAGAUAAAGAAGUAGCAGGCAGCAUCUGAUUAAUCCAUGAUCCUACAAAUCAGUAUCACUGAGCCACGUUCUGAGCCAGGGAACUAGUAUGUGAUUGAAUUCCAACUGCAAGGCAGACACCGGGAUGGAUUAAUCGCAAAGGUAUAUUAGCAGCAAGGAUGACGCCAAAAGCAGAGCGCGACGCUAACUAGCCAAGGUCAAAAAUGCGUGGCACAGUGGGACAACCAUUCUCCAGGUCCAGCGACGAUGCACGGAUAUCAUUGCACCGCGCUCAGUAGACACACAGCACUUAUUAACAGGUCCCAAAUUAAUAGCGCCAUAUAAUAUCAGCAGGUAUAGAACCAUAGAGACUGGAAAGCUUCACUAGUUUUAUUCCUGUUUGAGUAUCCAGUAAAUGUACCAGAGCCAGUCACAUACAUAGGAGUCGUUUGAGUUUGGUUAAUCACAGGUAUGUAGACAAAUAGGCAGCAAAAUAGUAAGUUUAAUCCAAAUUUAAAAUUUCUGUAUGAGUUGUGCAGAAUAAGCAGCAAGGAAACGACGAGCAAGGUUGGAGGGCAAAUUUAGGAGCAGCAGGCAAUCUCCGAUCCACCACCGGUCAAGAAACCAGCAUGUAUUUGGGAUCCAGCCGCGAAGGCAGACAUCAGGAUGGAUCAGUCGCAAAGGUACAUUAGCAGCAAGAAUGACGCCAAAACAAAACACAAUGACAACCAAGCAGGGUCAAGAAAUGUAUGGCAUAGUGGAACAACCAAUCUCCAAGUCCAGCAAAGAAGUACAGAUAACACUGCGCCACGCUCAGUAGGCACACAGCAUUAACUACUAGGCUCUGAAUUAGUAGCGCCGUAUCAUUUCAGCAGUCUCGGAACCAUUGAGAUUGGAAAACUUCACUAGAUAUGAAAUGACUUCAUCCAAUAUUACCAACUGCAGCUCUACUCUUGUUUAAGUAUCCAGUAACUGAACAGAGCCAACCACAUGUUUAGGAGCCGUACAAGUUAGAUUGAGCAUAGUUGAAUAGGAUAAGCAGCAAGAAGAACAUCGAGUAAGGUUGGAAGGCAGAUUAGGAGCAGCAGGUGAACUCCGAUUUGUUACUGGUUCAGAAGCUAGUAUGCGUUCAGGAUCCAGCCGCAAAGCAGACAUCAGGACGGAUCAAUCGCAAGUAUAUUAGCAGCAAGGAUGACGCUAAAAACAGAGCGUGAUGUAAAUUAACCAGGGUCGAUAAUGUAUGGCAUAGUGAAACGACUAUUCUCCAAGUCUGGUGGCGAUGUACAGGAUGCGUAAUAAUUAGUAUUCCAAAUAGCCGUUAUGACAGGAUAAGUUAAUAUGUGAUCGUCAGGUAGUCGCGGCCAAGGGCAGAUUGCUGAAGGAACCUGGGACAAAGUAGUACAUUAAAGUAUUUGUGGUUGGCAAGGCUGGAGAGCCUAUCAUCUAGUUGCUGUUCAGGAGUAGGUGGUGGAAUCUUACUCAGAGAAGGUGGAAUCAUAACAAGACGUUGAAUGUAUUCUGGUUGGCAUUUGAUUUUCUGCACUGUUUACCUGCGUGUAUAAACACUACUACGGAGUCACCAUGGUGGAGCGUUUACCCAGAACAUCAAGAAGCGCUGAAAAGGAUCACAUUCAAGCUUUAGGCAUUCAAUCUCUUCACAAGCUUCAGUAGCUAAUUUCCUUUAAGCCUAUUUACAUCCGUAUGCUGCUACAUUAUAGAAUCAAUCCAGUUUUAAAUUCCUGAUUCAGUUAUGGAGGAAUAGGAGCAGCGAAAUACGCUAAACAGGCUGAAGAGAGCAAAUAUAGGAGCUGCAAACGAAUUCCUAAGACUGGCAGAUUGGCUAGAAAAAGCAGUCAAUUUAUCCAAGGAUACUGCAACGUUACGUUACUCAAGUGGGUGCUUAGCAGUUGGUCAGGAUUCCGUCAGAUGAACAGCUGUUGGAUUGAAUGAUGCCAAUUAACUCCCAAUUGAGGGGCAGACAUAUGUUAUCCCGCUGCAGCAAAGAUUUUAGGAUGGAUUAAUUACAGGAACGUAAAUAAAUUAGCAGCAGAUUGUAGGAAUUAACCAGUUUAUAGAAUCCUAUAUCUGUUAAGACGGAUUAGCGACGAAAUUAACUCCGAUCAUGUCUGGAGAGGGCGAGUAAAAAGGAUCAGGAACAGCAGCAUAAAAAUAGAAUUAAAAAACCAGAAUUUUAUUUUUUCCAGAAUUUUUCCAGAAUUAAGAAAACCAAUUUUAGUUUUAAUGAAUUAUAUUUAAGUAGUUUAAGUAAUUUUGUGUUAAUAAAAUGUAAUAAAUCAUCGAUCAGAUGUGAAAAAUUCAA